UACGAAGGGGGCUAGCGUUGCUCGGAAUCACUGGGCGUAAAGGGUGCGUAGGCGGGUCUUUAAGUCAGGGGUGAAAUCCUGGAGCUCAACUCCAGAACUGCCUUUGAUACUGAAGAUCUUGAGUUCGGGAGAGGUGAGUGGAACUGCGAGUGUAGAGGUGAAAUUCGUAGAUAUUCGCAAGAACACCAGUGGCGAAGGCGGCUCACUGGCCCGAUACUGACGCUGAGGUGCG
rnacentral:rRNA from 1 species